rnacentral:misc_RNA from 1 species
GAAGAAGAAGAAGAAGAGGAGAAGAGGACCAAAGGACUUACUUGCAAUUGACGGCAGCAACAGCAACAGCAACGGCAGUUAGCAGUCGGCAGUCAGUGCAGGUGAGGAUCUCUUCUCUGCAUCUCCUUUCUCUUCUCUGCAUCUCCCUUUCUUUGCUUUACCUCUCCAUCUCCCUUGCUCUUCUCUGCAUCUCCCUUUCUCUGCUCUGCCUCUCCCUUGUCUCGUGGCCUUUAAGGCUUUAACUUUCUCCGCUUUUCUCGUUCUCCAUUCCCAUUUGCUUCUUCCUGAUUGUAAUAUUUUCUUG